UAGAAAGGAAAUGUGUUUGUGUGUUAUA
rnacentral:piRNA from 1 species